UGUAAAAUUAAGAAUAACAAAAUUUUUUUCUAAGCUAUUUCAAUUAAUGAAAGGAUCUGGAAAAUUUAAUUUCAAAAUUCUUAAACAUUUUUUAAAUUAGGUUUUUAGGGAAGCUAUAAUCGUUGACAUUAAACUAUAGUUAACUAAGCGAAAGUGAAAAAACACACCAUACAAGUAAACAUUUUAAAAAUUGCUCAAAACGUUCUUCUAUACAAUAAAAUCACAUACGAUUUUUUUUAGAAUUGUAGAUACAUUAUAAAGAGGUGUAAACUGCCUGAGUGUAAAACUUGACUCACCCUUGUUUAUUAUAAUAUAUAAGUUAAAGAGAUGCGAUACAAAAAUUAAACAGUCUUUGAUGAUCA